UAUGUAAGUCUGACUGACUUAUACACAGGGACAUAGGGUCACAAUUCGUUCUCUACCAAAAUUAUUAGGCUAUACUAUGAGAUUAUCCCUAGUAUUACAAACGACUAUUUCCACCAAAAAUGUCCAGAUUAUAAUUUUUCAAUUUUAAAAGUUAACCCAAGAGGAACAAUCAUACUGGUCUAAGAAUCCUAAAUGGGAAAAAAAUUUUGAAGUGCAUACAUUUUAUGAUUUGAAUCUAGUCUCAGAACUUUGUAACCAAGAAAUAAUUUUGAAGAGAGGAUCUUCAAUAAAUAUUACAGUCAGGAUAUUCAGUCUGGACUAAAACAAAUCAUUGAUUUUUUUUAACAUACUUUUGUAUGCAUUAUUUACAGAUGAGUUAAUAGAGUUAACAACUGAGAAUAUAUUUACUUAAUGCCCAUAAAUUAUGUUAAAUUAACAAUCCAUAGUUAAGAAACAAUUCUAAUCUGCUAAAUUUAUAUGCAAAGCACUAUUUAUCGGUUUCAGCUAGUCCAUUGGAUACACAUUAUUAUCAUUUUUGUUAUUAUUAAUAUUUUAAAGAUUAAGAGAUAGGAGCUUAGAGAAGUUGAACAUGAAGAAAAUGGCACAGGCAGUUAGUGACAACAUCCAAGUCUGUUCGACAACAAAGACUUGCUCUUAAUCUUCAUACGAUAAUGCCAUUGGUUUUUCUGCAAUGUCCAUAUUUUGCUGAAUUAAAUUAGUGUAAAAUGCUAAGUGACACAGAGUAGAUGCUCAAUUCUGAACAUAAUAUUAUUUGCUUUACACUGUUAUUUCACUUAUUGGAUUCAUAUACAUUUAAAAAAUCAUUUCUAAAAGAUAGGUCUAUUAUAAAAAAUUUACAUAGACAAGUACCAAAAUUGUAUCAUGGCACUAGGUUAGCUCAAGAGUUGUUGAGGACUAAGAUUUGUUUUAAAACAAAAUAUUGAUUAUCCAUCAAUAUAAUUUUGAGAUUAAGUAUAAAAAGAAAUAACUCAUUUUGGCUCAAGUAGUAGUUCUCUUAUGACACAGCAUGUAAGAGACACUAUAGAUACUUUCUAGCUGUAUACUAUCUACCCUGGACAAAUUAUUUCUAUUUUUGAGUAAUAUUGUUUUAAUUACAGGAUGAUUAUGCAUCUUUUCUAUGCAUCAUGUACUAAUAAUACUCUCCUUGAUUUGAUAAAUCCUUUUGAAUUUAUUAAUGAUUAAUUUCAAAAAUUCUAUUCUGAUUUGUGAAUCAUACCAUAUUUUAUGAAAUUAUAGUUUAUGGGUUGAAGUACAUUACUGUGGUAAUUUUAGUGGCCUUUCUAAAAUAUACACACAAAAUAUACACACAAGUCUUUCAUUUUGUCUCACUGUUCACAUUUUAUUCUCUUUUAAACUUCUUACUUACAUAAAUCAUUCUCCUUAGAUUGGGUAUCAGUAAUUUAAUAUAAGACAAGAACAAUUUGGUGAACAAUUCAAUCUCAUUUUUGCAAGGUUAAAAAAAGACAGGUAUCUUAGAAGUCUGUCUGAACUAAUUUAAAUGAUCUCAUUUCAAGUGUGACCCAAUCAAGGCUCUUCUAUGCUACUAAGUAUCAAAAUCCCAAUGCUUAAUCGUUGUUCAGAAAAUAUAAAUAUUAACUGCUAUGUUUUAAGUUCUUGCAAUCAAAGGUGAAUCUAUUAUCCUUGAUAUCUCUACUCAUUGAUGUCAUAAGUUGGCAUGCUUUAAUGAAAAAGAUAGAUUCUAUACACAUAAUACCUACUACAUGAUAGAAAGGUAAAAGUAUAGAAUAUGUUUACAACAACUAUAGAAAUAAGAGGAAAACCUGGCACAGAUAAUGAUAAAGUUUGGAAUCAAAAACCAAUUGACUCAAGCCAAAAAUUUGAAGAGUUUUAUGAUACUGUAGAGUUAUUAAUAUUUUUUUUUCUAUUUUUGGCUGUGGCAUGCAGAGCUUGACAGGGAAUUUCAAUUCCCAGAUGAGAGUCUGAACCUAGGCCACAGCAGUGAGAGUGCAGAAUUCUAACCACUAGUCCACCAGGGAGAUAUGUAGUCUUUUUGCCAUUCCUUGGGCCGUUCCUGCAGCAUAUGGAGGUUCCCAAGCGAGGGGUCAAAUUGGAGUUGUAGCCACCAGCCUAUGCCAGAGCCAUAGCAACUUGGGAUCCUUGCUGUGUCUGUGACCUACAGCACAGCUCACGGCAAUGCCGGAUCCUUAACCCACUGAGCAAGGCCAGGGAUCGAACCCGCAACCUCAUAGUUUCUAGUCAGAUUUAUUUCCACUGUGCCACAAGGAAGCUCCUGAAACAAUUCUUUUUUCAUCUGUAAAGUAGGUCUACUAAUAACUACUAUUAUAGGCUUUAUCUAGCAAGAAACACCUGUUUCCACCCUCAGGGGAGAAGUCCCACUCUGUAUGGAGGAAAACAAAAGACAUGACCAUGCCUGACACCAGGAGCAGCAGUACUAAGAUAUCAACCCACUAUAGGUUUCAGAGUUGCCAAGAAAGACAGAACAUAUGCAGACACCAGAAGGAACAAUGCUUUAGUCACAUAAAGAAGAGAGAAACAAGAUUAAUGGUAAGUGUCAGUAGUCCAUGGAUGGCUGGUCUCACCCAGCAACUGACACAGAGAGAUGAUCUGCAUGUAUUCACCAUGUGCUAGAGGCAAAGAAUGUUUUUUUUUUCUCCUCUCUCUGAGCAGAUACAGUAGUGGAGUUGCCAGAAAUCAUGUGAUGCACCGCUUUAAGCAGAACAGAGAACUAUAGGAGUUCCUGUUGUAGUGCAGUGGUUAACAAAUCCGACUAGGAACCAUGAGGUUACAGGUUUGAUCCCUGGUUUCACUCAGUGGGUUAAGGAUCCACGGCUCGGAUCUGGCAUUGCUGUGGCCCUGGCGUAUGUCAUCUUUAUAUGUGGAUAUCAGAGUAUAUAUGUUAGAAUAUAUAAAUGACUCUCUUUACAAUUCAGUAAUAAGACCAAAGUAAAUUCUAAGAAACAUCUUUAGCCAUCAAGAAAAUGUAAAACCUUUUAUAUACACAAAGAAUUCACUAAAAAAAUAGUAAUAGCAGUAUUAGUGAGGCCACAGAACAACUGAAAUGCUUAUAUACAGGCUAAUAAAAAAAUAAAAUUUUGAAAAGUAGUUUGGAAAUUUCUUUAAAGUUAUAUGUGUACUAACCAUAUAAGUAACAUAUUUUUCAAUGAGAUGUCCAUGUUUAUUUAGAUAGUGAAUUUUAAAUUUUAUUUUCUCAGUAGUUAGGAUAAGCUAUAACAGGAACAUGCAUUAGAAAAGAAAAGAGAGGAGCAGGGGAACAAAGCUGGAGAAAGAAGACAUAGCUAGGAGUUGAGAAAGGAUGCAAUAGUUUGUGAUCUGCAGAUGAAGGUGACCAAUGAUUAUGGGGUGUCUGGAUCUUAUAUUCCAGGGUGUCUUGCUUUCUAUUAGAAAUAUCUGUGUGCUACCAUACAUACCUCAAUCCUGAUGUAACAAUCCCUAUUAGAAUUAUUACAUACGAAGAUAUUUUAUAAGAGUAUUUAAGAAAAGCAGGAAGCAAGAAUAAAGAAU
rnacentral:lncRNA from 1 species